rnacentral:ncRNA from 1 species
UUAUUCAUCUUAAUUAGGUUUAAAGGGUACCUAGAGAGGAUUUCUAGCCUCAAAAGGGAACAGACUUACUAGAGUUUUAUGGGAGAGGAAAAUAUUAGAACCAUUGGAGUAGAGAUAAAAUGUUUUGAUACUAAUGGGACGGAUAGCGGCGAAGGCAAACCUCUAUGUAAUAACUGACGUUGAGGGACGAAGGCUUGGGGAGCGAAUAGGAUUAGAUACCCUAGUAGUCCAAGCAGAGAAUUAUGAAUGUUAUAGACUAAAAUAUUUGGUGUAUAAAUGAAAGUGUAAGCAUUCCACCUCAAGAGUAAUGCGGCAACGCAGGAACUGAAAUCAUUAGACCGUUUCUGAAACCAGUAGUGAAGUAUGUUAUUUAAUUCGAUGACCCUCGAAAAACCUUACCACAAUUUGAAUGAUAUUUUUUUAUUUAUGAACCUAUGUUACCCCCACAUACAACAUAAAUUAAGUAAGGUAACUUACUUUAAAUAUUACAAGUGUUGCACGGCUGUCUUAAGUUAAUGUCGUGAGACUUUGGUUAGAUCCAUUAAAUUAACGUAAACCCUUGCUUUAUUUUACAUAUAUAGAGCAGUUCACCCAAUUUAUUGGAUAUGAUAAUAGGGAUUAAGACAAGUCAUCAUGACCUUAAUAUUGUGGGCUAUAGACGUGCCACAUUUAUUUGUACAAAAGGAGGCGAAAGUGCGAACUUUAGCUAAUCCUUAAAACAGAAUAAAAAAUGGAUUGUAGUCUGAAACUCGACUGCAUAAAUAAGGAAUUACUAGUAAUCGUGAGUCACCACAUCACGGUGAAUUUAAUCUCAGAUAGGUACUAACCACUCGUCAGGCGCUGAAAGGAGUAUGCGCAAUAAGUUUGGCUAUUUAAUAAUUCUUCCUAUUAAUAAUUAGUUAAUAUUUAGACUUUUUUUUAAAUUCUAUAAGAUACUUUAUUGGAUAGUUUUCGUAUGCGUGACUUUGAUUGGUGUUAAGUCGAAAUAUGGUUCGUGUAGUGGAAAUUGCACGGGAUUAAUAAAAAUU